GCCUGGGUGGCUCAGCCGGUAAAGCAUCUGACUUUGGCUCAGGUGGUGAUCUCACUGUUCCUGGGUUUGAGCCCCACAUCAGGCU
rnacentral:tRNA from 1 species